CUAAGUUACAGCUCAUCCUGCAUUUUUCAUCACCAGCACCCUCCAUCUGUGCAUUACUUGUGUUGCUAUGAUUUUGGCAACACUUUAGCAGCAAGCUACUGUUUAUAAGAAGGGAUCCCAGCAGCUAAAAGCAGCCAGUCGUUGGGAUUACUCAUCACUUGCCUUGUGAGCUGCUCCAGGGAAUUUCUUGAAGAACUAUGUCAAAAUCAGCUUUAGAAAACCAGCAAUUUGAGAACUUUGAUUGACACAUAUCAAGCACUCCCAGAUUAGCAUUGGUCAAGUUGGUGAGCUUGGAAGAAAGAUUCUUUUUGAUGGUACGGAGUGAAGAUUUUCCUCUUUUGUGCAAGGAAACAAGAGGAUAAAAAAGGUCUUUUUCCUCUCUUCAAGAAGAAAUCUGACGCAUUGGGAACUCAAUCACCAAGACGCCAUGAAUGUUUCCAGGAGGAUACAUUCUCUCCGUGCUCACAGACAGAAAACCAAUGGGAACAAAAGUGAGAAUUGGCACAGCACUUCUGGGUUCAAGCACCAGCAUGCAGAUGAUCUUGCUACAGUCCAUACCCUUUAUACAGUGAUUGUCAUGAUCCUCCUAAUGGCAAUUUGGGGAGCCUGGUCAAGAAAGGAUUCAUCCUCAUAGCAGCAAUGUGUGUUCUUUGUCAGAUAUUUAAAGGAUUAUUUGUGUCAGUUAUCCAUACCCAGAAGGUACAAAAAAUGGUUCCAGCAUAUUACAGUUUACUUGAAACUGCUUUAACUAUUGCUACUUGUGGAACUGAACCUGUGAAGCAAUCUAAUAGGCAAUGUACAGAAUGUGACUUUGUGAAUAACAUAUAACUGUUUGCACUGUAAACAUGUUUAUAUUACCCUUUGCAUGUAUGUAAAACUUACUUUAAGCACAGUAUGCUAGCAAGAAGAGUUCAACUAAUGUAUUUAUUGGUCAAUGUUUUAUAUACCCACCCCAGCUUUCUAGUUUUGAUCUUAAGUUGUCCAGUCUCUACCUCUGCUAAGACUACCUGUCCUCAUCCAUGGUAAAAUAUAUACUAUAAACAGGCAAGUAAUCUGCCAUGUCACAGCAAUGUAGGGAAGAAAAAACCAAUAAAGCCAGCUAUCCUGCAGGCAAAAGAAGAGCUCUGAACAAGUCAAAUUCUGAUCUCAGUUGCUGAAGAGAGUUUAUAUGGGGUUUGCAUCUGCAUAUUUUUAACUUAUGGUAAUACCAUUGAGAAAGUCUGGCCCCUUCUUCUUGACAUCCACCCCUUAGAUAUUUAUAAGCAUUGCUGAGAUGCCCUCUCAGUCUUCUCUUCUCCAGACUAAACAGACCCAGCUCUCUCAGCCUUUCCUCAUCAGAGAGAUGCUCCAGUCCUCUCAUCAUCCUUGUAGCCCUCCGCUGGACUCUCUCCAGUAGUUCCUCAUCUUUCUUGAACUGGGGAGCCCACACAUGUGCCAGCUCUCAACAGGUGGACAUGGGUGCUGGAAUCUGUCUUCCUGUAGCCAUGCAGCACUCUGCCAGUGUUACCCUACUCAGACAAACACCGUUGUUAAGGAACCACCUCAUCACACUUUAUCAUGGGAUCAUCACUGAUCCCCUUUAUAAAUCCUGCAGGGAUAAUCCUGCCUCUGAAGCAAUGGAGAUCCAAAUAAGGUGUUGGAAAUGCUUCACCUUCCUCUCUUUCACCUUACAAUAGAGGAGAUGAGGUAUGAAAGUUCAGAGGAGACAGCAGUAGAACAUUAAGUGCUUUGAACACAUCCAAAUGUCCAUCUUGAUUGACAAAAUUAUCUAUUUUCUUGAAGAACAUGUACUGGUAUCUGGGAGUUUCAGCUACCACCAGAAAAAAGGGCGGGCAGACAAAGCACAGCACAACACACUUGAUGAGCCAGCAUGAAGUAAGGAAGGAGAACCUUUCACAAACUCCUUAUAGAAAAUGUUGGUUCAUGAUUACACUGACUUAAUGUAUCAUCAAAUAAUAUUUUAAGCUAUAAAAUAUAUCUGGACUGGCCUGCAUGCCUCAACUAAUAUAUUAAGCUAUGAAAUUUAACAUACAAGGUCUCUUCCAAACCAUCCUAUCAUUCCAUGAUACAUUUUUUCCUCAAACUUUUGCCUUAGUGCAAAGCAGUAAUGGUUGAUUGACAGUUAAAUUAUAGAUCCAAAUUUAUUUAGUGCGUUCAGAAACCCAAGUGUAACUUUUCAGGGUCAACAAAAUCUACAUUUAUUACCAGUUUUUGUAAAUAAAUUGUUGAAUUCAGUUAGAUAAUGCACCUAGGACUAGAGGAACACUGUGCUCUUGCAGGGCAGUGGCAAAAUCUCUCCUUGCCAACAGACUCAAAUCAUCUGCCUGGCUGAAUGAUGCUAUGGAGGCUACAGCUCCCAAAAUCAUUUCCAGUAAAUCCACCCAUGAAAACAGCAUAUUCAGGUCUCACAGUAAAUUACAAUUUCAUAAUUUAACUCAUAUCAACAGUAACAAACUAUUCAGUGUUUCUACACCAGUGAAAUAGACUGACAAGUAUUAGAAACUGGAAACUCAAGUUUGGAACGUGUGUAUCAAUUGUUAUGCAGUGAUCUUUGUAUUAAUAUUUCUUUUAUAUUAAACAGACCAGAGUGAUGUUUUAACCAUGUUCAAAAAAGGCUGUGGUUUAAGCUGUCUGCUCUUAUUUUAAGCUAUCAAAAACAAUGUCAGCAGUUCGGCCAGCCAACCUGAUGAUAUACUCCAUGUACCAAAUGGACUGUCAGAAAAGGAAAACAAGUCUUUUAUUUUCCGUGGUCAUUCUCA